rnacentral:rRNA from 1 species
UACGUAGGCAGCAAGCGUUGUUCGGAAUUACUGGGCGUAAAGAGUGUGUAGGCGGUGCUCUAAGUUCGGUGUGAAAUCUCCCGGCUUAACUGGGAGGGUGCGCCGGAAACUGGAGUGCUUGAGCGCGGGAGAGGAAAGCGGAAGUUCCUGGUGUAGCGGUGAAAUGCGCAGAUAUCAGGAGGAACACCGGUGGCGAAGGCGGGUCUCUGGGCCGUAACUGACGCUGAGGAGCGAAAGCAUGGGGAGCGAACAGG